rnacentral:rRNA from 1 species
UACGGAGGAUGCGAGCGUUAUCCGGAAUCAUUGGGUUUAAAGGGUGCGUAGGCUGGUAUUUAAGUCAGUGGUGAAAUUUUCGUGCUUAACAUGAGAGCUGCCAUUGAUACUGGAUACCUUGAGUGUAUUUGAUGUGGGCGGAAUGUGUUGUGUAGCGGUGAAAUGCAUAGAUAUGACACAGAACACCGAUAGCGAAGGCAGCUCACAAAGUUACAACUGACGCUGAUGCACGAAAGCGUGGGGGAUCAAACAG